GACAGAGGGUGCGACCGUUGUUCGGAAUUACUGGGCGUAAACCGCGUGUAGGCUGUUCGGAAAGUCGGGUGUGAAAGCCCUGGGCUCAACCUAGGAAGUGCACUCGAAACUCCCGAACUGGAGUCCCGGAGAGGAAGGUGGAAUUCUCGGUGUAGAGGUGAAAUUCGUAGAUAUCGAGAGGAACAUCGGUGGCGAAGGCGGCCUUCUGGACGGUGACUGACGCUGAGACGCGAAAGCGUGGGAGCAAACAAG
rnacentral:rRNA from 1 species